UACGUAGGGUCCGAGCGUUGUCCGGAAUUACUGGGCGUAAAGAGCUCGUAGGUGGUUUGUCGCGUUGUUCGUGAAAACUCACAGCUCAACUGUGGGCGUGCGGGCGAUACGGGCAGACUAGAGUACUGCAGGGGAGACUGGAAUUCCUGGUGUAGCGGUGGAAUGCGCAGAUAUCAGGAAGAACACCCGUGGCUAAGGCGGCUCUCUAGUACGGUACUGACGCUGAGACGCGAAAGCGUGGGGAGCGAACAGG
rnacentral:rRNA from 1 species